CCUUUCUCUUUAGUAAACGCCGAUUUCGACUGUUGUUGGCUCGGAAACUAAUUAAGGGCCUUGAGUGACUCGGUUCCGCGGCGGCUGGAGGGUCGCCGGGUGCACCAGAGCCUAUGAAUUUUGAAGAUGAAUGAAGGUCAUGAUAAAUGUUUUCCAAAAACUUGAGAUAGAGGAUGGCUUUGAAAAAACCACUAGGAGCACAACAACAUGUAUAAGGUAGCUGCAGAUGAAUGUCAAAGUCCUUAGCUGUGCUGUUGAAAAAUCCUUCAUU
rnacentral:lncRNA from 1 species